rfam:Halostagnicola sp. A56, whole genome shotgun sequence.
CCUGUUCGACGCACGUCACAGGUCGGGAUGUGGAACGCGGGAGACUCUCUCGAGUUCUGAACCAGGAA